AUGCAUGUUUUGACCCUGGGCCUUUCUUGGCUUCUCCUUUUCUAUGGAGUGGACAAGUACAAACAUGCUAGAUUAACAUUUAAACAUUUGGGAGUUAACAGGGCCACCAGUCUAUCAAGGUCAGGCUGAGUUGGUAGUAUAAUACUCCCACAUUC
ensembl:snoRNA